AUUUUGUGAUGAGGGCAUUUCUAAAUGAGGUCCUUAAAUCUCUUCAUAAAUUUGGAGAACAACUCACUAGGUUUUUGCCUGAAUUGAAAAUGUCACUCCUAAGUUU